rnacentral:rRNA from 1 species
ACGGGAGGCAGCAGUGAGGAAUAUUGGUCAAUGGGCGGAAGCCUGAACCAGCAACGCCGCGUGAAGGAAGAAGGUCUUCGGAUUGUAAACUUCUUUUAUGAGGGACGAAGGACGUGACGGUACCUCAUGAAUAAGCCACGGCUAACUACGUGCCAGCAGCCGCGGUAAUACGUAGGUGGCAAGCGUUAUCCGGAUUUACUGGGUGUAAAGGGCGCGCAGGCGGGGAUGCAAGUCAGAUGUGAAAUCUAUGGGCUUAACUCAUAAACUGCAUUUGAAACUGUAUUUCUUGAGUGCUGGAGAGGUAGAUGGAAUUCCUUGUGUAGCGGUGAAAUGCGUAGAUAUAAGGAAGAACACCAGUGGCGAAGGCGAUCUACUGGACAGUAACUGACGCUGAGGCGCGAAAGCGUGGGGAGCAAACAGGAUUAGAUACCCUGGUA